AAAGGCUGAGGGCACAUAGAGGACGCCGAGCUCAUAGGAUCGAACCAUCACCUGUGUGUUGUUCUUCUCCAAAGCCCCCCACGCUGCUUUGGACAGGUUGGCGCUAUAAUAAUGAUGGCGGUGAUGAAGUAUACCAAGUGGACAGGAGGGUCGGGCCGAAGAGACGAUUUGCCCAGCGUGGUGAGGGUUCGCUGGAACUCCCCCGCCAGCCACUUGGUUUUGUCCACUCCCAUAGAACCGAUGCUGGAGAAUUGGCCCACCACGGGCCACUGGUCCUCGCCGGGGAUGCAGUUGGUCUGCUCGUAAAGCAACUGCAAACCGGGGAAGGGGUGGCCCCAGCGCUCCAUGUCUGGCCCCACAUAUCUGCCAGGGGUGGAGCCCACCAGAUACACCCUGAGCACACAUAGACCAUAGACUGGAUAAACUUCAUUUUUCCAUGUCUACGUGUGCAUUUACGCAACAAGACGUGCCUGGUCUCCGAGAGGUCGUGCUCUUUGAUCCGAUGGAUCCACUCUUCCAGCUCGGGCGCCCGAUACGAUGCCAAAUAUUCCAGCAGGUCCCUCUUGAAAAAGGUGGGCGACUCGCCGCAAGUGUCGCUGCUGCCUUUUGGUAAGCGUGGAAACAGAGGACUCAUCCACAUCCUAGUAGCGGAUAAGCGGGAAGAUUAAGAAUCAGUCAUUGGGACAUGAGUUCAAGUUUUAGAAGUAGUGAAAAGGGAAGCACCCUUGCGUCUUCUGGUACCAGUCAGCUCGGAUGAGGUUGGAGGUUAGGAUGAUGACUCGGAAGCCCUCGUCAUACCACAGCAGCAUCAUCUUCCUGCAAUUAAUCAAUCCACAAAGGAAAUUAAAUCACUGUCUACGGACGCAAGACUACAGUUUAAAAAAAAACAAA